GUUCUCCUUCCCUCUGCAUGUCACCCUUGGCCAAGGUGUUGCACAGGGGUUCCCAAACUUUACAAUGCCAUAACCCAAUACCAUUAAGCAAGUGAUCUGUGGACUGCAGGCAACAGUUUGUUUAUACCAGAGUGAAGUAAAAAGAUCCUCUGACUGUUGUUGAUGUUGUGCAUUGUGAUGGCAACUCCUGUCAGUGCACAGAUCAGAUCGACGGAAAACGGGUUGCACAACAAACAUCACUGGUCAGAAGCAAACGGUGAAAUAGAACCAAUCAGUGAACUUGCUGACCCCGAGGAUUCCUCUUGAGGUGUUCAAAGUGACUUCGGCCAAGUACCAUCUUUGGGGAUUAUGUGAUUGGUCAAUUGUGCAGCUUGCCGAACACCAGCUCUAUCCUGAUUGACACACAGAUUCCAAUCUGAAUCCUUGUCAACAUAAUUUUUACUGCUGAGAUCAUCUUCAUCUUCGCCUCACCAUUCCUUUGCCUGCUGCUACCAUCUUACCAUCCAUGCCAAUUUGCUGCCGGCAUCAACAUCCAAUAAACAUUCCCAGUUUGUGUUAAAUUUUAUUUUAACUUAGCCCCUAUUAAUGACGGAGAAAUGCAUAUGGCAAGAUCACUAUGAGCCUGAAGACGGUGAAGCCUUGAAUUAUAAUCCUGCUAAGAAGCAGAAACUACAGAAAGUGUGUCAAUAAAAUGUUAGAUACCUGGAGUAUGGUUUUAUCCUGUUUCUGUCAGAUCAGUGAUAUCCCGUGUAUUUGUAAUACUGUAUUGCAAUGAAGCAAUCAAUAUUGCAGGAACACUUCCAUAAAAGACCCACUGAGAAGGCAGCUUAUGGUAUUUCUCAGUUCCAGAAGAUGAAAGAAGCAUUUGAAAAGCAUUGCACACUCAAGUCAUUUGCCAAGAACUGUGCACAUAGCUUCAAAAAUUAGAAUUUGGGAUACAACUGGAUGAAUCAACUGUGCGAGCCAACGAGGCUUUGCUAAUGGCAUAUGUAGGGUUUAUGAAAAAUGGAAAAGUUUAUGAAGAGGUUCUCUCCUGUAAAAAGUUAAAAACAAAUAUCAAUGGAGAAUCCAUCUACAAGUUUAAAAUAUAUAUUGAGGAUGAAAGUAAUCUGAUUAGGAACAUGAUUUCUUGUGCAACUGAUGGAGCACCAUAUAUGACACAUCACCAUGCCUGGUUAAUGGCACUUGUGAAAAAAGAACUUCCAAAUCUGUUUGCAAUCCAUUGUGUAAUUCAUCGUCAACACCUCGCAGUCAAAAACCUCAGUCACUGACUUUUUUCAAGCAUGACUCUUGUAAUAUCUGCUAUCAGCAAAAUUAAAGCUCAUGCAUUAAAUAGCAGAAUAUUUUGCCAGUUAUGCCAAGAUAACUAUGAAGAAACUGCAGGUUGAAAAUUUCAAUUUAAUCCAGGCAAAAAGUGCAGUGUCCACUUAUAUCAGAAAAUUGGAAAUAUAUAAGCAAAACCUUGCAGAAGAAUAUUCUCUCAGUUUCCCAGCAUCACAAGUAUGCUGCUCUCUUUCACAGACGGUGAUUUGCAAGAGUACUGCUGACACCUGCAGUCACUAAGGAAGGAUUUUCAGAACUAAUUCAAGGAUCUGAAUGAACUAGAAAUUGUGGACUGGGUAAUGGACCCAUUUCUUUGCAAGGUGGAAGAACAGGAAGAGAGCUUGCAAGAAGAAAUCAAUGAAAUUCAGAAUGAUGAUGAUGAUGAUGCAAAAAUACUUUUCAAAAAUGUCAACUCCUGUGGUAUGUGGCUACUCUGUCAUACGAAAUUUCCCGGUUUUUGGAGACGAGCCAAACUGCUCUUCAUUGCAUUUCCAUCCUCCUACCUUGUUCAAGGAGGCUUCAGUUCAGUGAACCAUAUGUUCACAAAAAGCAGAAAUUGUUUGGACAUUGUUAUUUGUGGGGGCUUGAGGCUUUUGCUGUUACAUCUUGAAUCAGAUAUUUCAAUUCUUGCUAAAAACCGUCAAGCUCAAGGAUCACAAUGAUAUAGAAUCUACUGUACAGCGCACAAGUAUUGUGUAAGCUAGGUUUAAAGACAAAUAAAAAAUUAAAGUAUAAUCAUUUUUCUCAUGUUAGCAUAUGGUAGACAUGCCUUUACACUAUGGGAAUGUCAGGAAGUCUACUGUGCCUAAGAGUGGCGUUGGCAAGUAUGGAAGUGCUUUAGGGGAGCACUGGGUUAAAAAAAGGUUGGGAAACACUGCUUUAAAGAGAUAUGGACCACAUGCGAGUAAAUGCGACUUGCUUAGAUGGGAAUCUAGGUCUGCAGGCAUUGGUUGGACUGGAAGGCCUGUUUUCAUACUAUAUGUCUCUUUGACUCUGAAGGCACAAUGGCUCUGCUCCCAUGCUUUUGGUUACUCUGCAUUCUAAUUAAAAAAUGGUUUGGUUUUAAAAUUCUCAACCCUUGUCUUCACCUUUCCCUAUAUUAACAAUUGUCUCCAGGCCCCACAACCUCUGUGAUAACUGUGCUCCUCCAUUGCUGUCCCCUUGCCCCUCUCCAAAACUAAUCAGAGUAGGCCAUCCCUAUAGCUGAAGUGAUCCUAAACUCUGGAACGCACUCCUCAAACUUCUCCAAUUUGCCACCUUCUUUUCCUACUUUCAUACUCAUUUUAAAACAUCUGGUCAUCUGCCCCAAUAUGAAGGGUCUCAGCCCAAAAUGUCAACCGUCACUUUCCCUCCAUAGACACUGCCUGUGUAUCUCUGAUCCACAGUGGAUCACCUGAUCUGCUAAGCUCCUCCGGUGUUUUAUGUGUUUCUCCAAAUUCCUGCAUUUGCAGUCGGCCACAUUCCCGUUGUGCCCCCAUACCUUUCUUUGCAACUUGGUGUCGCAAAUUGCUAUAUAAAUUGAAAUUGUUCUUGAGUCUGCACUGUGAGGCUGGU